rnacentral:rRNA from 1 species
UUAGCAGUGACUGCUAAAUCAAUUUUUAAUAACAAGUCACUUGGGUGAAAGAGAGGAUUGUAGAAUUUCAAGUGGAGAAAUAAAAUUCGCAGAUUUUUGAAGGAAUGUCAAAAGCGAAGGCAACAAUCUGGCUUUACACCGACGCUGAUUCACGAAAGCUUGGGUAGCAAACAGGAUUAGAGACCCUGGUAGUCCAAGCCGUAAACGAUGAGCACUCAUUUUUGGACAAUAAUGGUUCAGAAAUUUAGCUAACGCGUUAAGUGCUCCGCCUGAGAAGUACAGCGGCAACGCUGAAACUCAAAGGAAUUGACGGGGAUUUAUACAAUUCGUGGAACAUGUGGUUUAAUUCGUAAAUACACGCAAAACCUUACCAACCUUUGAAUAAUUUUGUAAUUCUGAUGAAGAAAUUUGUUAUGUUAAGAAUUACAGGUGCUGCAUGGCUGUCGUCAGCUCGUGUCUUGAGAUGUUAGGUUAAGUCCAGCAACGAGCGAAACCCUUUUUCUUUGUUACAAAAGAAUUUUUAGUUGAUUUUAUAAAUUGGUUUGCGUUCGUGUACUUAAAGAGCAUUGCCUGCGAUAUGUGGGAUGAAAGAAAGGAUGACGUCAAGUCUUCAUGGCCCUUAUAGGUUGGGCUACACAUGUGUUACAACGAUGACAACAGCAAGUUGCAAUGAUGAAAAUUGAAGCAAAUCUUUUAAAAGUCAUCUCAGUUCGGAUCAUUUUCUGAAACUUGAAAAUGUGAAGUUGGAAUGAAUAGUAAUCGUCUAUCAGCAAGGGACGGUGAAUUUUGUACCUAAAUCUUGUACAUACCGCCCGUCACAUCAAGAGAGUUUGCUCAACUUGAAGGCACCGUUGGCAGCUGAACCUCAGACUCUUUGGGCAGCUCACGAUUGUUCAUUUUCUGUCGUUCGAAGACAGGCUGUGCUUAGAACUGAG